rnacentral:rRNA from 1 species
AUGAUCCAGUAUGCGCACAAAAGAAAGCUGCCGGUCAUUGCCCUGAAGUUGGACUUUCAUAAGGCCUUUGACAGUGUCAGUUGGUGUUGCUUACGCAAGAUUUUUGAUGCCAGAAGUUUUCCGACAGUGUGGAUCAAUUGGAUACACACCCUCUUGACUUCUGGCAGCUCCAGAGUGCUUCUCAAUGGUGAGCUGGGGGACCCCAUUCAGGCAAAAAAAGGCUUUCGGCAAGGGGAUUCUCUAUCACCGUAUUUAUUCAUUCUUGUUGCUGAUGUGCUCCAAAGGAUGCUGUGUCAGUUGUUUCAAAAUGGCUCGUUCGUGCACCCCCUUGGCUCAGACUGCUUUUUCCCGGUUCUACAAUAUGCAGACGACACACUGCUGCUCUUCCAUGGCAGCAUACAGCAAGCAGAGCUAAUUAAGUCUGCCCUCACGGCCUUCUCCGCCUUCUCUGGGCUCACUAUAAACUUCCACAAAAGCACCCUCGUGCCAGUCUCAGUGGAUGCAACUAUAGCUUCUGCUAUUGCUCAGCUCCUCGGGUGCCCGGUUUAUUCUUUUCCAUGUACAUACUUGGGCUACCUCUCUCCUUGCACAAGAUAA